GGUAGGUGGCGGAGUGGUCAAACGCACCAGACUGUAAAUCUGGCGGCUUAAUUGCCUACGGGGGUUCAAAUCCCUCCCUGCCC
rnacentral:tRNA from 1 species